UACGUAGGUGACAAGCGUUGUCCGGAUUUACUGGGCGUAAAGAGCGCGCAGGCGGUCGAUCAAGUCGAGUGUGAAAGCCCCCGGCUCAACUGGGGAGGGUCAUUCGAUACUGAUCGACUCGAAGGCAGGAGAGGGUAGUGGAAUUCCCGGUGUAGUGGUGAAAUGCGUAGAUAUCGGGAGGAACACCUGUGGCGAAGGCGGCCCCCUGGUUGGAUACUGACGCUGAUACGCGAAAGCGUGGGGAGCAAACAGG
rnacentral:rRNA from 1 species